AUUGAACGCUGGCGGCAGGCCUAACACAUGCAAGUCGAGCGGACGAGAGGGGCUUGCUCCUCGAUUCAGAGGCGGACGGGUGAGUAAUGCCUAGGAAUCUGCCUAGUAGUGGGGGACAACGUUUCGAAAGGAACGCUAAUACCGCAUACGUCCUACGGGAGAAAGUGGGGGAUCUGCGGACCUCACGCUACUAGAUGAGCCUAGGUCGGAUUAGCUAGUUGGUAGGGUAACGGCCUACCAAGGCGACGAUCCGUAACUGGUCUGAGAGGAUGGUCAGUCACACUGGAACUGAGACACGGGCCAGACUCCUACGGUAGGCAGCAGUGGGGAAUAUUGGACAAUGGGCGAAAGCCUGAUCCAGCCAUGCCGCGUGUGUGAAGAAGGCCCUCGGGUCGUAAAGCACUUUAAGUUGGGAGGAAGGGCUUACAGCGAAUACCUGUGAGUUUUGACGUUACCGACAGAAUAAGCACCGGCUAACUUCGUGCCAGCCGCCGCGGUAA
rnacentral:rRNA from 1 species